CGUUACAGUUUUUUUUAAAUCUGGGGAUGGAUGGCUGAGUUGGACACGUUCUGGAUCCACACGACCUGUGAGUAUUCUCACUACUUUGCUCUCAAGAAAUUGCAGUACAAUCUGAAUUACUUUUUGGAUGAACUGGGUGUCUACCAGUGUUACACCACUAGUUCUCAGUAGUAAUAACACUCCAUUUCAUGUCUCUCAGUAGAUGAAGCCAGCUGCAACCCGUAGAGUGGAGUCGUGGAGAGAGCCCCUCGCCCCUCAGCUAAACCAGAGUAAAUGAAGCCAGCACCAACCUGUGGAGUGGAGUCCAGGAGAGAGCAUGCCGCCCCUCAGCUAAACCAGAUCAGAUAAAGCCAACUGGAAC